rnacentral:rRNA from 1 species
CAGCCGCCGCGGGAACACCAGCAGCCCAAGUGGUGGUCGCGUUUAUUGGGCCUAAAGCGCUCGUAGCCUGGCCGGUAAGUUCCCCGUGAAAUCGGGUCGCCCAACGAUUCGGCUUGCGGGGAAUACUGUCGGUCUUGGGGCCGGGAGACGCCGAGGGUACUCCGGGGGUAGCGGUGAAAUGCUGUAAUCCUCGGGGGACUACCAGUGGCGAAGGCGCUCGGCGAUAACGGGCCUGACGGUGAGGGGCGAAAGCUGGGGGCGCGAACGGGAUUAGAUACCCCGGUAGUCCCUGUCUCUUAUA